rnacentral:lncRNA from 1 species
CUUCCAUGGAGAGGAGAAGUUGAUAUUUCUUCCAUGGAACUUCCAUGGAGCUUCCAUGGAAUUUCCAUGCAGCCGGGAGCGUUUUCCAGGAAUUUCAUCGGGAUGCUGCCGACCCUGAAAAAAAUCUCCCGCCGGGCUCGGAAGGAGAAAAGCGCCCCAAUUCCAGCGAGGAAAACCGGGAGCGGGGAUUCACUGCUCCCGGCGCCACAGGACCGGGAUGCGGCGGGAUUUUCCCAGGAAAAAUAUGGAAGAGAAGGCAGAAAAAAAGAAGGAAUUUCCUGGUUCAUUCCUUGAAAAGCAAAUCCAACUUUUUUGGCUGCCACGGUUUGGAAUUCCCCACCCUGGGAGGAGAAUUUGCUGCAGGAGAAUUGUGUUCCCAAGGGAAAAUUCCGUGAAAAUAUCCCUCGGGAAGGAGCGAGCUGAGCCAGGAACAUCUGAGGGCCUGGAGGCCUCAAACUUCCCAAAAGUUUCCCUGGAAAAGUCCCGAAUUUAUGAAAAAUGCAGGAAGUGAGGAGCAAUCCCACACAUCCCUGGGAUUCCACCUCUCCUCACCUUUUCCCGGGAGCUGAAUUUCCGGGAGUGAAUCAUUGCUCGGAGCUCAUUAAAGUUUCAUCUCCACAAGCCGGGGAAAAUCAGGGAUUCGGGAUCCUUCCACCCCAGGAACUUUGAAAACAACAAAAAAAAUCCCAAAUCCCAGAAGUUUUGCCCCACCCAGGAGAUCCCAUUUGGUGCUUCCAGCGCCAGAAUUCCACAGCGGAUUCGGAUGUGGAUGCGUUGAGGGGCAAAAAAGGACUUUUCCGCUCGGCUUUGUCCCUUUUUUUCCCAAUUUUUAGGGCUCAGUUUGCGUAUUCCAGGCUGUGGAAGAAGGAGAAUUUCCCUAAAAUCCCACGAGGCUGAUUUAGGGGAUUUUAUGGGAUUUCUCUUCCUUCUCACCCCAUUUUGGGCUCAAAUCCGUAAAGUUUUCCCAAACGUUGGAAAACUCCAUCCCAUGGGAAGAGAAGAGCUGGGAAUACAGAAUUUGGAAUAAUUAUUUUGGGUUUUUUUUGCACCUUUUUCCACCUUUUCCAAGGGUGCUUGCAUCCCUGGAUUUCCACAAAGCUCUCCCUGUUUCAUCUUCCUGGGAGUUAAUUAAAUGUGUUCAAUUAAUUAAAAUUAAUUCAAUUAAUUAAACCCCGGAGAUUUGGGUGCCAAUGGAAUACCAGGAAAACUCCUUGGAAUGAACUGGAUUUGGGGCUAUUUUUUGGGAAAUUCCCAAAAAUCACUCGGGCCAAACCCAAAAAUCCAAUCCAGUGGCAGCUCCUGGGCAUGGAAUUAAACUCGGAAUUAAAU